rnacentral:rRNA from 1 species
GCUCCAAUAGCGUAUAUUAAAGUUGUUGCAGUUAAAAAGCUCGUAGUUGGAUUUGUGGUUGGAGCGACCGGUCCAGCACAGUGUGCAGGUACUUGGUUGUCUCCGUCCAUCCUUGGGGGGGAAUUUGUGUGGCAUUAAGUUGUCGUGCAGGGGAUGCCAUCGUUUACUGUGAAAAAAAUAGAGUGUUCAAAGCAGGCUUA